GAUGAACGCUGGCGGCGUGCCUAAUACAUGCAAGUCGAGCGAACAGACGAGGAGCUUGCUCCUCUGACGUUAGCGGCGGACGGGGGAGUAACACGUGGAUAACCUACCUAUAAGACUGGGAUAACUUCGGGAAACCGGAGCUAAUACCGGAUAAUAUAUUGAACCGCAUGGUUCAAUAGUGAAAGACGGUUUUGCUGUCACUUAUAGAUGGAUCCGCGCCGCAUUAGCUAGUUGGUAAGGUAACGGCUUACCAAGGCAACGAUGCGUAGCCGACCUGAGAGGGUGAUCGGCCACCAUGGAACUGAGACACGGUCCAGCCUCCUACGGGAGGCAGCAGUAGGGAAUCUUCCGCAAUGGGCGAAAGCUUGACGGAGCAACGACGCGUGAGUGAUGAAGGUCUUCGGAUCGUAAAACUCUGUUAUUAGGGAAGAACCAAUGUGUAAGUAACUAUGCACGUCUUGACGGUACCUAAUCAGAAAGCCACGGCUAACUACGUG
rnacentral:rRNA from 1 species